GAUGAACGCUGGCGGCGUGCCUAAUACAUGCAAGUCGAGCGAACAGACGAGGAGCUUGCUCCUCUGACGUUAGCGGCGGACGGGUGAGUAACACGUGGAUAACCUACCUAUAAGACUGGGAUAACUUCGGGAAACCGGAGCUAAUACCGGAUAAUAUAUUGAACCGCAUGGUUCAAUAGUGAAAGACGGUUUUGCUGUCACUUAUAGAUGGAUCCGCGCCGCAUUAGCUAGUUGGUAAGGUAACGGCUUACCAAGGCAACGAUGCGUAGCCGACCUGAGAGGGUGAUCGGCCACACUGGAACUGAGACACGGUCCAGACUCCUACGGGAGGCAGCAGUAGGGAAUCUUCCGCAAUGGGCGAAAGCUUGACGGAGCAACGCCGCGUGAGUGAUGAAGGUCUUCGGAUCGUAAAACUCUGUUAUUAGGGAAGAACAAAUGUGUAAGUAACUAUGCACGUCUUGACGGUACCUAAUCAGAAAGCCACGGCUAACUACCUG
rnacentral:rRNA from 1 species